rnacentral:rRNA from 1 species
AACGGCGAGUGAAGCGGCAAGAGCUCAAAUUUGAAAGCUGGCUCCUUCGGGGUCCGCAUUGUAAUUUGCAGAGGAUGCUUCGGGAGCGGUCCCCAUCUAAGUGCCCUGGAACGGGACGUCAUAGAGGGUGAGAAUCCCGUAUGGGAUGGGGUGUCCGCGCCCGUGUGAAGCUCCUUCGACGAGUCGAGUUGUUUGGGAAUGCAGCUCUAAAUGGGUGGUAAAUUUCAUCUAAAGCUAAAUAUUGGCCGGAGACCGAUAGCGCACAAGUAGAGUGAUCGAAAGAUGAAAAGCACUUUGAAAAGAGAGUUAAAAAGCACGUGAAAUUGUUGAAAGGGAAGCGCUUGCGACCAGACUCGCUCGCGGGGUUCAGCCGGCAUUCGUGCCGGUGUAUUUCCCCGCGGGCGGGCCAGCGUCGGUUUGGGCGGUCGGUCAAAGGCCCUCGGAAGGUAACGCCCCUAGGGGCGUCUUAUAGCCGAGGGUGCAAUGCGACCUGCCUAGACCGAGGAACGCGCUUCGGCUCGGACGCUGGCAUAAUGGUCGUAAGCGACCCGUCUUGAAACACGGACCAAA